CAUUCUGCAAAACGUGAGCCCAACAGGAAGCUGCCUACAAAUUCAGGUAGCUUUUCUGCAUCUAAAAGAGGUCUUAAAGAUACUUUCAGAGAAAUGCCAGCAAAAGCUAUAGUCAUUUGGGGAAGAACAAGUCUGGAAGAAAAAUACACAGUGGAGUAGGACCAAGAGGCUCCCCCAUAUUGUAUGGUUUCACUGGUAUUCAUUUCUACUGGAUGGAAGGAGAAACAGCAUGGAGAAACACAUGCGGAAAGGCGUAAUGGGCCAGACUAAAAGUGGCUUGGAUUUUUCCCUUUCUCAGAAGAACUCUGUCACACUGCCACCCCUAAUUUCAAGGAAGGGGGCAGGGUGUAGCUGUUGAGCCAGUAAGAAGAUGAAGCAGAUUUCAGUGAACAAGAAGAAUCAGCCUCUGCACACUGUGUGAUUUUGAUGUACAACUGGUACAUGGUUGAAAACUCACAGGUGAAUUAUUUUUGAGUCAAAAUAAUCUAGGUCCCAAACCUAGUCACCUCACAGAUGUCUGACCUUAGGCAAGAUAUCUCCCCUCUCUAUGCCUCAAUCUUUUCUGUUCUUUUUAAGUGAGAAUUUUUAAAUCUGACGUCUUAAGAUUUUUAUGAGAUUGAAAUAAGAUAAUAUGUUUAAAAUCAUUAGAAUACUCGCUGGCACUUAAUGAAUAGUCAUAAAUAUUUUAUUCUAACUGCAUUGUUGGUUUGGAAGGAAAGGGAAACAAGUUCCGCUACUUGAGCUGAGAAAUCAGAUGCAGCAGUAUCAGAAUAAAUAUACUAUUUCAACUGAAUUAUUGGAUUGAGGAGGUGUGAAAAAGCAGAAUUUUAACACAACAGAAGACUUUUUGCUCUUGUAAGAGAUACUGGGCAAGUGUUCCAGUUAGUGGGCAGCUCUCCUCCAGGUGGUCAUUCUGAGAUCCAGUCUCUUUUUAUCUGGUGGCUCUGCCAUACCCUGGGGCUUUAUCACCAUCUUAUCCAGUGUAGCAAGACACACUGGUGAUAGAGUAUGUAAUGUGGUCUGAGAGUUAGAUGUCUCAAUAACAGAAUAUUUGAUGUUCACAGAAAGAAAAAUUACUCUGAGAAUAAAGCAAAAGAAAUCUUAAGAUAUUAAGGGAUUGAAUAUGUUGGUAGAGCAGUUCUCAAGCUGAGAUUUCAGUAAUCUUGUUAUCAUGUAUUUCAAUUCAGGGAGUUUGAUAUACUUUUAGAUUUGACUUUGCCACAUAUAAGUCUGUACCACUACACCUAAGGAAGUCCAAGAGUACUCAGGUCCAGAAGUGGACCUGAGCUGUGCAGUACUUAUCAUUUGAAUCCAGUGAUACCAUGAAGGAUGAGCUGAAUUCUGUAUAGUUAGGAGGAUUAAUUUAUGAGUCGUUCUGAAGUCUGGAUUAGUAUGAGGACAUUGUCUAAUCAAUGAAGUUAUCUAUUAGAAGCAGAGAAUGAUCCUUGUUUAGCACUUCCUGAAGGUGAGUUAUGUACAGACUUGUUUUCCAAUAACUUCCACUAGGCCACAAGAAUAUAUCUAUGCUCUUCCUGCCUUCAGAUUCCAACUGGAGGAAUUUAUUCCUAAUCAAAAUAACUAAGAGGAAAAUAUGUCCCUGUGUGCCCCAUCUUCUUGGUUUCUCUACCAUUUUCCAGCUUUCCUGGUUUCAAACCCCGUUUCCCCUACCCCCUUGGCAGACUCUCACACUUUUGGUGCUGUCCUCCCAAAUCAGCAUCUGAGAACAAGACUCCCUCCAUGUGACUUUCCUGAUUCCACUCAAGUUUACCCCUUAGACCUUGCCCUAGUUAUGAACUCUUGCUGACCUGAUAAACCUAUCAGGCCUGCCCCCCCUUCCCCCAUGGGCUUCAUUUACAAUGGUGGUGGUCAAUGUUCUCACCUCAGUAGUCCCCUGCUUCUUCUGAACACUUGCCUUGGCUAGAUCACCUAUCAGGGAGGUGGGAGGAAGAGGACAUGGGGGGUACCUUCCAUGUGCCAGUCCCACAGGCAUCAUUUCAUUUAUUACCUUGGUGCCCCUGGGAAAUUACUUGAGCACUGCAACUUCCUUUUCUACUUCUGCGAAAUGAAGAUGAUGACAAGUUCCCAGGAUCAAAUCAUAGCCACUGUCUAUUUAGGUCCUCACUAUGUGGCUGGGUCUCUGUUUAGUGUUAGAUGUACUAUCUAAUUUAAGCCCUAUAACAUCCCUAGGAAGUAGGUCUUAUAGCAUGCCCAUAUUUGUAGAUGAGGAAAUUGAGACAAGGGAAGGUUAGGCGACUCAAUCAAUCUGGGCAUAGUGCUUGGAUCUUCAGCGUUUCCAGGUAAUAUUGACUCAGUUGAUUUCCUUGCCUCUGAAAGUAUAGUGACAAUAGAAAAUUUUUAUGACUAGAGGCACCUUUAGCACAAAUAUCAUAGUCCCAUUAUGUGCUCUCUUCAGCAACACUUCUGUGGCGGCUCUUUGCCACAUGAGCCCACUUUACCCAAAACCAAGUAACACAAACUUAAAUCUGACCUAGUUUAAUAAAAAUGUGGGUUGUGGUUCAAUUGUUCAGUAAUUGAUUACUAAGAAUUUAAACAGUGUUUAACAACCACGAUAAAUGCAGUCUUUCUUUUGUGGUCUCUCAGAAACACUGCUAUUUCUCACUGUUUUAUACACACGGUAACUCCUUCCAAAUAACCUGCAAAUGCAUAGGAGUUACAUUCCCCCAAACACCAUAUCUCAAACGGUGUGGCUUUAAAGAGGGGUCAUGGAAUGGAUCUCAAGAUGAUGUUCCAGAUAACUCAAGCCCUAAAUGUUAUCCCUCAUGUUUGUUGUCUACAGUUUACUGGCAGUGGCCAGUAAACUGAAGCCCUGAUUCUGCUCCAAAAUAAUCUAUACUACUUACUUCCCUUUCAACAAGUAGACAAACUCAAGUGGAGAGAAAAGCAGCCUGAGCACAGGAGUGCUGGUAUCAAGAGGACAGUCAGACCAGUCAGCUGACACCCACUGGCUGUGGUUCCUACCACCACUUGCGCUACGUAGCUGAAGUGAGAAGAAUUCGCGGUGUUUGGUUUCUUUCCCGUUAUUCAACUGAAGGCAGCCAAGUGCGUAUCACAAGUGGCCUCCUCGCCAAAUUCAGUGACCUCUUUUUUCAAUCUCAUUCAGCUUUGUAUCCAGUCUGCCCACCAAUUGUUCACUAAAAUGGUAGACUCUGCAGUUUCUAUUCAGCACACAGGCCUUCCACCUGGGAAAGUCCGGCUUAGCGAUGACAUUUCCGUCCUGCUCACAAAGUUACCCAUUGGCUCUUGUGUGUUUCAGAGGGAUGUUUUCUAAAGCUGAGCAUUAUUUGGAAAACAAAAGUGAUGAGCCAACUAACCCACAUGUCAUACCGAAAUCUUAGAAGGAAAUUACUGCCUACAAGACACAUAGACACAUACACACAACCGCUUUUUAAAAUAUUUUUGCAUUUCACUGAGUUCUAUUAAAUAGCUUCAGAAUGUUUGAAACAUACUAGAAAUUCCUGAGAAAUAUUUGUUUCAAUAAAUUUCCUAUAGACAUGUUUGGGAAGUAAAAAUGUUUUCUUCUAUUCAUUUACAUAUUCACACAGUAAACAUGCAGUGAAGUCUAUCCUCAAUACCUAGCACUCGGCUUAUAAUAAUGAAAAACCUAGGUUCCUGCACUCAAGGACUUUAAUUUAGUGAAGGACAGAACCACAUGUAAAUAGCUACAAUUCAAAGAGUAAAGGUGAUCAGAGAAAUACAAAAUACUUGGGAUGAAAGAGAAAGAAGUGUCUCACUACCAGGCUCUUUGAAGAUCAACAGAGAAAGGUGUUGGUGACCUGCAUCUUGACCUGAAUCUUCAUGGAUUGGAAAGAAUUUAUAAAGGGGAGAACAGAAAAGACUAACAUUUCAGUAGAGGGAAUAAAGCCUGGAGGUAUAAAAGAGCAUGGUAAAUUUAUGAUCCCAUACACUGGGCCAACAGGUAUCUACUCCCACUGCAUGUUGUUAAAGAGUCUGCUUGAGAGCUGCAGGAUCUCUCAGCGGAAAAGGGUGAUUUUCAUCUAACAGCAUCUGCUGAGUACAUUCAUCUAUCAGUGGAGAGGCAAGGCAGCAAAGCUGGAGGCCAUGUCUGGGAGGCAUGCAACUCUGUUGCUCAUCCACAUGAGGUCAUAAAUAUAACUGUGUGAAUUUCAACAUUUCUUAUUUUUAUCUUUCUUCCACAAAGAAACCUAGAGUGCUCAGAAAUAAUGUUUGGAAUGUUGGAAAUGAGUACAAAUACUGACUAUGGAUUUGGGACUGGCAACUUCUGGACUCCCCAUUUCCACUGCUGAUAAUGGCUUUUCACCACACAUGCUUUCCAGCAAUGUUUUUGAAGCUGAGCCCAAGAGGUCUUUUGGCUAUACUUCCAAAGUUUUCACAGAUAGCCAAGCAUGCGAACACCACAUUCACCGCCCCUGUGCAACUGGAGCAACUUCAUAUGCUUCACACAUCAACCUCCUGUUUCAAACUAUAUUUAAAGGGUCCGCUUCAUGCACCUCCUUCGGGUUUUUAAAACCACUUAGGUUUCUGGAAUCACAGUUCUGCUCUAAAUAAUAGUGACCACCCUGAGCUAUAUUUAUUGUGUUACUCUAUGCCAGAGCACUAUUUGUGCAGUAGAAUUUCUUCUAUUAUGAAGUAGAGAAGACGUGCUUUCAUCCUUGCAGGUUAAGUGUGAUGGUGAAUAAGAUAAAGGCUAAAUAUAUUUAGAGAUAAACACUACAUAUUAAAUGUUAAAACCACACAUCAAUAGACUUCAUUUUAGAUUGUGGUUUCAGGGUGUCAGGCUAUCUUUUGGCUUAGCUGACUAAUCUACCCCUUUGGUAAGAUUGGUUCUUCUAUUUUUCCUGCAGAGAGAAGAGGUGUAAAGACAAGAUAUUCUUUAGCUUAUGCACUCAUCCAUCAUUUUUUUAAGAGACUCCUCUGAUUACUGUGUGGAGAACAGACCAGGUGGGGAAUGACUGGCAAUGUUGGGAGUCUAUUUCGGCAGCUAGUGCUAUCACCCAGUCAACAGGUGAAAACCCACGUUGCAAAGCAAAUUUAUUUCUACAAGUUACAGAAGUACACAGGUCUCACAUGGAUCCCUAAUGGAUCUACUAUGCCAUACCAAAGCGGGGGGGCGGGGGAGGCAUAGUGCAGCACUUGACUCUUGGUUCAAAUUUCAGCUCUGGCCAUUGUGGGACCAUGAUCCUUACAUCUUGAUUUCUAGCUUCUUAGAACUAUGUUUUGCCAUUUUAAAAAAGAGACUAAAAGUAGUACCUACCACAGAGGAUUGUCAAAAAUACAGAAGUAAGUAUAUGUGAAGUGUUUAGAAUAGUUCCCACCAGGCAGUAAGUUCCAACUAUCUUUUUGCCUAGAACACACUCACACACACAAAAAGCAUCUAAAUGGGGCAAUGCGGUUUGUGACCCCAAGAGGGCAGCAAAGGAAUAAGAAUGGAGGUGGAAGUACACAAAACCAAAUUCAUGUAAAUUAUCAAAGAAGACGUACUGUCUGAUGAGGAAACAAACAAACAAGCAAACAAACAGGAAGAAGGCUUCUAUGAAUCCUGCAAAAUGGAGGCUGAGCUCAGGGCCACUUAGAGCCUGACAUUCGCUAACAGUUCAAGUGUAGUAAAAAAUCAGUGACUCGAGGAACGAGAAGGAUGCAGACUUUCAUCUGGGAACACACUUCCAAGGUGGGCCACUCACCUCAGUUGAUACUGGCUGCUGACUGAGUGCUUAGCUGAGGCUGAGGGCCAAUGCCCUUACUUUCCCUCCAUGUGGACCUCUCUAUGUGACCUGGAUUUCCUUACAGAUGGUAGCUGGGAUCCUGUCUCUCAUUUCCACAAGCAAAGCAUCAGCAAGUCUUAACAGGUCUGGAGGCAAAGUACAUUCCAAAACUAAUCUGAUCUCAUUUCCACAGCUCCCACCUGAGUCCAAGUCAACAUGCUUCUCUCUCCAGAUUACAGCAAAGUCUCCUGAGAGGCUUCCACCCUUCCAAUUUAGCCCCACGUAAUCUAUUAUUUAUACUGGAGCCAGUGAAACCUGAUCAUGUCACAUUGCUCAUCUUUUUCUUUCUUUCUUUCCUUUUAGGGCUGCAUCUGUGGCACAUUCCCAGGCUAGGGGCUGAAUAGGAGCUGCAGCUACCGGCCUACACCAUAGCCACAGCAACACCAGAUCCAAAUGGCAUCUUUGAUCUACUCUGUAGCUUGUGACAAUGCUGGAUCCUAACCCACUGAGUGAGGCCAGGAAUUGAACCCGCAUCCUCACAGAUACUAUAAUGGGUUCUUAAUCCAUUGGGCCACAAAGGGAACUCCUCACACUGCUCAUCUAAAAACCAUCUGAUGGCUUCCUAUCAUCAUUACACUAAAUGAUGAUUAUCAUCAUCAGCUCUAAUGGUGGCCUGUCUGUAUGCUGACCCCUGUUUCUCCUUCUCUUUUCAUCUUCAGCCUUCUCUCCACCACAUGCACACUGACCUUCUUUCUCUAAUUCCAGUAGUUGAGGGAUGUUUCCAUUUCAGGGCCUUCUGUUCCCAAAUCUCUUCAUACCUGCUCUAUCCCAUUGUUCACACCUCAGCUUGGAUACUACCUCCUGGGUCAUCCCACAUAAAUAAGUACUUCCUAUCCCUUAACCCUGCUGUAUUUUUAUCAUACUUAUUAUUGAAAUUGUUAUUUAUAUAUUUGAUUCCUUGCUCGUGGUCUUCUCCUUCCAGAAUAUAAAUACCUCAUAGAUGGGGGUUUGAAUUUUGUUCAUCGCUUUUAUUAACAGCACUUAGAUCCAUUUAAUAAAGCUAUGUUGAUUACUGAAUAGAGAAUUAAAAAAAAAAAAAGAAAGAAAACAGACUCCUUCUGGCCUUUCUGAUUGGAAGUGGCAUAAACUAAGCUCUGCUUUCACUAUAAUGCAAACAUGUCUGUGCUCCCUCUUAGCUAUGGGCAAUCCUUUCCUAGGAUCCUGUGGUUUUUAUAGAAUAGUUGGGGACGAGUGGUUGUUUCAAUGUGUACUCUUCAAGGGGUUUCGGCUUGAUGCUGGUUAUCUGCACUACUGUGGUUCAGCUAUGUUUGGGCUUGUUAGGUGAGUUGGUGGUGACAGGCCUCUCAGAGUUCAAUUCUAAUGAAGUUUUUGGUUUUGAAUGGCUGACUACAAAGAAGACUGUGGUUGGGGUGAGUGGGGGAAGUAGGGGGUGGAGAUAGGAAGGGAAUGAGAAGGUGUAAUGGCUAAGUGAACAUGCUGUCACUCUUCUGGGCUGCUCACCACAAUUGCACAGGCUGCCUACAUUUGGGGAAUCCCCCCUCCUGGCAUCUAGGACACUGGGAUACACUAUAGGCCCCAACAAACACAUACACCUGAGCAAGGUUUUGAAUCAUUUCAGAGAAACAAGUGCCACCUGGGGUCUACUCUGGUGAGAAAGGCAACAGGUGGUAAGUCCAAUUCUCAGAGGGAGGGCUGGCUAAGGUCACACACCAGCCAAGACCCAGCACCAGCAGAGGCAACAGAGUAGUUUCUAGCAGAGCCAUUCUUUAGUGUGAUUCUGGGCACUGAUCCUGGCCGAGGAGCCUCCCUGUCUGGUUUCUAGCUCCCUGGGAAAUCCUAUAUUCGUUAAUAAAUUCCUUUUCUACUCACACUAUUUUUCAAUUAGCUGCAACUGAGAACUCUGACCAGAACAGGUGGGGUGUUUAUUACGAGUCUAACCCAGGCACCAGGCCUGACACAUCUGGAGAAAGGAGCUAGAAGCCCAAAAUGGCAGAAAUUAUUUUAAUGAGAAAUUUCAUGAGAAUCAGAAUCUGAAGAGCAAUGCUUUAUUCUCCCAUGUGACAGAAUUCUACAUCAAGCAGGAAAAUGAGCCUUCUCCUACUUUUCCCUGGAACACACAGAAUCCUGGCACCAGGAAGAACCCAGAGAAAUAGUCUUCAAACAACUUUUAGAAGUUCUAUUCUUUUUUUAAUGAAUUCCAACACAGAAACAAGUCCAGCUGGAACCAGCUGAGGUGGGACUUGGUACCUCAACCAUGUCACUGGGGUGUCCUUACAGAUCCCUAGACUACUUUGUGAUCAAUCUCCAGGACUCAAUGGUGGUGUGAGGCAGGAGGCCCACAGAGUCUAUGACACCCAGGAGACCAGGAGAAUCUCCUGAGACAACACCUUGCAGAUGCAUGCCAGAAAGGCAGCAGUCCCAGGUAAGCAGAUUUAUUUCUGAGCACAUCACCUGAGGGUUCCCAUAAGGCUGGUGGGGAGCCCAUCAGGCCUUGUUUCAGGGACUCCAGACCUUGCAUUAAGAUGUGAGGACAGGAGUUCUCGUCGUGGCUCAGUGGUUAAUGAACCCAACUAGUAACCGUGAGGAUGCAGCUUCUAUCCCGGACCUUGCUCAGUGGGUUAAGGACCUGGCAUUGCCAUGAGCUGUGGUGGAGGUCGCAGAUGCGGCUUGGAUCCCACAUUGCUGUGGCUGUGGCAUAGGCUGGCAGCUGCAGCUCCAAUUUGACCCCUAGCCUGGGAACCUCCACAUGCUGUGUGUGCAGCCCUAAAAAGACAAAAGACAAAAAAAAAAAAA
rnacentral:lncRNA from 1 species